rnacentral:rRNA from 1 species
GACGAACGCUGGCGGCGUGCCUAAUACAUGCAAGUCGAGCGCAGGAAGCUGACGGAACUCUUCGGAGGGAAGGCAGUGGAAUGAGCGGCGGACGGGUGAGUAACACGUAAGGAACCUGCCUCAAGGAUUGGGAUAACUCCGAGAAAUCGGAGCUAAUACCGGAUAGUUCAUCGGACCGCAUGGUCCGUUGAUGAAAGGCGCUUCGGCGUCACCUUGAGAUGGCCUUGCGGUGCAGUAGCUAGUUGGUGGGGUAACGGCCCACCAAGGCGACGAUGCAUAGCCGACCUGAGAGGGUGAUCGGCCACACUGGGACUGAGACACGGCCCAGACUCCUACGGGAGUCAGCAGUAGGGAAUCUUCCACAAUGGACGAAAGUCUGAUGGAGCAACGCCGCGUGAGUGAUGAAGGUUUUCGGAUCGUAAAACUCUGUUGUAAGGGAAGAACACGUACGAGAGGGAAUGCUCGUACCUUGACGGUACCUUACGAGAAAGCCACGGCUAACUACGUGCCAGCAGCCGCCGUAA